rnacentral:rRNA from 1 species
UACGUAGGGUGCAAGCGUUGUCCGGAAUUAUUGGGCGUAAAGAGCUCGUAGGCGGUCUGUCGCGUCUGCUGUGAAAACUCGGGGCUUAACCCCGGGCCUGCAGUGGGUACGGGCAGACUAGAGUGCGGUAGGGGAGACUGGAAUUCCUGGUGUAGCGGUGAAAUGCGCAGAUAUCAGGAGGAACACCGGUGGCGAAGGCGACUACCUGGCCUGUUCUUGACGCUGAGGCGCGAAAGCUAGGGGAGCAAACGGG